UACAGAGGUCUCAAGCGUUGUUCGGAUUCAUUGGGCGUAAAGGGUGCGUAGGUGGCGCUGUAAGUCGGGUGUGAAAUUUCGGAGCUUAACUCCGAAACUGCAUUCGAUGACUGCGGUGCUUGAGGACUGGAGAGGAGACUGGAAUUCAUGGUGUAGCAGUGAAAUGCGUAGAGAUCAUGAGGAAGACCAGUGGCGAAGGCGGGUCUCUGGACAGUUCCUGACACUGAGGCAACGAAGGCCAGGGGAGCAAACGGG
rnacentral:rRNA from 1 species